UUUGGUGUCUUUGAAGUAUUGCUAACUUCCCUAUGGGAUUUAUUUGUGUUUGUUGCCAGGGUUUAUAUCCUGAUGGGUGCCAGAUGACAGACUCCUCCACAUUUCAGCAGUGCUUUGUUCAGUUCUCAGGAUCCCUCAAAUCUCCCCGUUUGUGGCUGCAUAGGAAUGUAGCAAACCCAGAGUUCAUGUUUCAUUUUUUCCCUUACCUCCACAGAUGGAAGGAUUGUGUUUUCAGACAGGACUAUAAGGUGUGCAUUAUUUUCUCAUCACAUCUCCUACAACAUCUACAUUUUAUUUUCAUGUCUGCUUCAAGUUUCUCCACUUAAACCAGACUCCAGCAAGCUCUAAAAUGAUCUCCUGAUGUUUAUAUUUUAACCUUCCACCUUCCUUUCAUUUCCUUCUUCUACUUGUGCUCUCUCCUUCAGCUAGUAUGAAGUUCCUACAAGUUAAACUGGAACACUCCUCUUUAGACUGACAUCAUGCUAUAAGGCACCAAGCACACACUAGCACUUAAGUUGGAAAAUGAUUGGAAUUGACUUAAACUUGCUGAAUGCAAGCCAAAAGAAUAGGUACAGGAUACAUUGCAGCAGAGAUGCUGACUCUAUUUCUGCAAGGCCCUCCUAUACAAGAUCUAACAGUGAGAAGUCAGAAAAAAUAACUGUAUUUAACUUGCCUUGAGAAACUCACAGGAAAGGGCAUUUGAGGGUGGAUCAAUGACAUGAUUGAGGUUUAGAUCUCGCUGGCUACAGCGAUGCCUUUGAAUUCUCUGCACCCCUGUUGACCUGUACAGGAGAGAGGUAAUUGAUGACAGCCUGUUACCAAGAGCAGGUUAUAAUACUCCUCUUGUCCAUCCACACAGGCAACCUAAUUUUCUCCCGCGUCUUGAAACCAGUUCAUCUCAAACACCUACAUUCAUGGAUUAGUUUCCCACGAGAGCUGUUUGGACAUAGUGGUAUUCAAUAUCCCUAGCAUGUCAAUGUCAAGAACACAGGGUAUUAUUAUUACUGUUAUACUAUUGACUGCAUGGUUUUGGCAGUGCAGGAGGAUUAUCUUAGUAGUACACACUCUGUAGUUUAUUCCUAAGUAAUUUCCCAAAGAUGUUAUAACCACAGGCCAGACACAAGUUCAGGAUAUGAGCAAUAUAUUAGCUUUUUCCCUAUUAUUAUGCAGUGAAAAACAUGGCUUAGAUUAAGUAACAUAACAUUAAUAUAACAGUGUAAUACUAUAAAUUAUAUAAGAUUCAGUAAUAUGACAUUAGCCAUCUGUUUUGUGACAUAAUUGGGC
rnacentral:lncRNA from 1 species